rnacentral:rRNA from 1 species
CCUACGGGUGGCUGCAGUGAGGAAUAUUGGUCAAUGGACGCAAGUCUGAACCAGCCACGCCGCGUGCAGGAUGACGGCUCUAUGAGUUGUAAACUGCUUUUGUACGAGGGUAAACCCCGAUACGUGUAUCGGGCUGACAGUAUCGUACGAUUAAGGAUCGGCUAACGCCGUGUCAGCAGCCGCAGUAAUAAUGAGGAUCCGAUCGUUAUCCGGAUUUGUUGGGUUUAAAGGGUGCGUAGGCGGUUUGAUAAGUUCGAGGUGAAAUGUCGGGGCUCAAGCCCUAAACUGCCUCUAAUACUGUUGGACUAGAGAAUAGUUGCGGUAGGCGGAAUGUAUGGUGUAGCGGUGAAAUGCUUAGAGAUCAUACAGAACACCGAUUGCGAAGGCAGCUUACCAACCUAUAUCUGACGUUGAGGCACGAAAGCGUGGGUAGCAAACAGGAUUAGAUACCCUUGUAGUC